rnacentral:lncRNA from 1 species
AUGGGUUCUGGAGAUAUCACAAGUUCUGGUUGCAAUAUUCAUGCCCUGCCCCCACUCUUCUUUAUAAGACUGUGCUCAGCUAGAGAUCACAAGAAAAGUUCUUUUCUGGAAAUCACAGGGGAGAGAAACUAUCAAUAUCUGCUUCCCUGUCUUCAUCCUUCCAGGCUUAAGAAGAUUCAGGGCCCCCCCACAGAUACACAUCACUGGAGAGGAGUGCAGCUAAGGAGAUGGAUUCAGUCCCAUUGCUGAUGGGAAUCGGAAAUGGGAAAAAAUGGACCUAUAUAGUUCUGGCUAUCCUGCUAUGAACAUGGAGCUUCCCAGGAGAGAGAAUGGUUAGAAGGAUGACAUGAUAUCUGCUGGGUGAACCCACCACCAUGUGACUAGAGGCCUGACAAGCAUCCAUCAUGUACGAAGUUUAAGUAGUUUGUUCACAGGCCAUGAGUUCUUGGACAUUGAUUAGUGGAUGUUGUAGAUAUAUUCUGUUGUUUUUCAGACUAAGCUGAAUCUGGAUAUCCCCUAAUUAGGGAGAUUUUAAGGCUUGGAAAGAGAUUUUCUUGAGGUUUCCAAGUCUUUGGACAGUAAUAUAUUGGGCCAUACGUAUUGGCAAUGUAUUGGGCCAUAACAGUACUAAGCUUGAGGACUGAGCAGAGAUUGGUUACUACUAGAUAUAACCUCUUUUGAAGUAAAUCAUUAGUAUUUUCACUUUGGCAUACUUCCCUUAUUAACCAUCCCCUACCUUUGUAAAAACAAAACCAAAAACAAACAAAACAUAGACUUCACAAAGCACUUUUAUGCUAAUGAUCCCAAAUCUCUUAUCCCCAUUUGCAACAGAGGGACAUGUGUCUGAGAGAGACCGGGUGACUUUCCCAGAGUCCCUACAAUAUGUUAAGUUUUCUUCCCUAAAUUACCAUGAGUCAAUUAUUCAUGUAUUAAAUAUUAUUUAUUAGAACCUACCACAUGCCAGAGGAGGUGCUGGGAUCAAUUGGUGAUCAAUCAAGAAAUACAAAAUAACUGUCCUUACCCUCAUAGAGCCUACAGACCGUUAAGGGAAACAGGUAAGCAAUCACAACACUGCAUAAUGAGAACUUUCAUAAAUGAGGCAUAAGGAACUACUACUGACAGGUGGUUGAAGGCCCCACAUCACCACUAUCUCAAGUGACAUUUAUGGGGCACUUACUCCAUGCUAGGCACUGUGUCAUUGCUUUGCAAAUAUCAUCUUUCUUAUUAUUCACUCACGCAGUCAACAGAGAAGAGAGAGACACAUGGAGAGGUUAACCAAUCUGUGUCACAAAGAAAAGUGAAGCCCAAAUUUAACUAAGCAGUCUGUCUUGAGCCCUCAGACAUGGAAUUUCAUCUAGAUAAUUAUAAUCUUCCUGAAGAAAAGAUUUUGGUUAGCAAACUGACACCGAGUUCUGUUCAGUGAGGCAGAAAAGAUUUGACUAAUGAUCGGUUUGAGUAAAAAUCUAUCAUAAUUUCUAAACAUAGUUCUUUCAAAACUGAAAUUGAAAUUAAAUUUUAUGAAGUUUCUGUGGCCAGGGUGUAGAAAUUAUUUAAAUAUUCUAACAAGCCCACAGUCAAAUCAAAGGAGUUAGCUGCUAUGCCCAUCUCUGUUAUAUUGCAAACAGGAUUUUUCACCUUCUAUAAAUUAAUCAGGAGGGUAGA